AGGCCGAGAGGCGUAGCCGAUGGACAACAGGUUGAUAUUCCUGUACUACCUAUAAGACUGAUGGAGUGACGGAGAAGGUUAGGAAAAGCCAGUUAUUGGAUUCUGGUCUAAGCACAAAGGCUUAUAAAUUAGGAAAUCUGUUUAUAAUUAAGCUGAAGUGUGAUGGUGAAGUCGCUUGCGACGAAAUUUUCUGACACCAUGCUUCCAAGAAAAGCUUCUAGGGUUAAUCUUAUAGGUACCCGUACUCAGAACCGACACAGGUGGUCAAGGAGAGUAUCCUAAGGUGAGCGAGAGAACUAUGGUUAAGGAACUCGGCAAAAUAACCCCGUAACUUCGGGAGAAGGGGUGGUCACUAGAUGACCGACACUAAAGACGCCCAGGCAACUGUUUACCAAAAACACAGGUCUCUGCUAAGUCGUAAGACGAUGUAUAGGGGCUGACACCUGCCCAGUGCUGGAAGGUUAAGAGGAGUGCUUAGAAUAGACGUAAGUCAAUGAUUCGAAGGUACGAAUUGAAGCCCCAGUGAACGGCGGCCGUAACUAUAACGGUCCUAAGGUAGCGAAAUUCCUUGUCAGGUAAGUUCUGACCCGCACGAAAGGUGUAAUGAUCUGGGCACUGUCUCAACCGUGGACUCGGUGAAAUCUUAAUACCUGUGAAAAUGCAGGUUACCCGCAUCAGGACGGAAAGACCCCAUGGAGCUUUACUGUAGCUUGAUAUUGAAGUUCGGUGUAUUAUGUAGAGGAUAGGUGGGAGACUAUGAGACUAAGACGCCAGUCUUAGAGGAGUCAACCUUGGAAUACCACCCUUAAUACAUUGAAUUUCUAACCUGGAAUCAUGAUCUGGUUCAGGGACAGUGUCUGGUGGGCAGUUUGACUGGGGCGGUCGCCUCCCAAAAAGUAACGGAGGCGCCCAAAGGUUCCCUCAGAAUGGUUGGACAUCAUUCAAAGAGCGUAAAGGUAUAAGGGAGCUUGACUGCGAGACCAACAAGUCGAGCAGAUACGAAAGUAGGGCUUAGUGAUCAGACGAUUCAGUAUGGAAUGGUCGUCGCUUAACGGAUAAAAGUUACCCUGGGGAUAACAGGCUGAUACCACCCAAUAGUUCACAUAGACGGUGGUGUUUGGCACCUCGAUGUCGGCUCGUCACAUCCUGGGGCUGGAGAAGGUCCCAAGGGUUGGGCUGUUCGCCCAUUAAAGUGGCACGCGAGCUGGGUUCAGAACGUCGUGAGACAGUUCGGUCCCUAUCCGAUGUGGGCGUAGGAAAAUUGAAGAGAGCUAUCCUUAGUACGAGAGGACCGGGAUGGACAUACCUCUGGUGUAUCUGUUGUAGCGCCAGCUGCAGUGCAGAGUAGCUAUGUAUGGAAAGGAUAACCGCUGAAAGCAUCUAAGCGGGAAGCCUCCUUUGAGAUGAGUUUUCCCAUAUUUUAUAUAGUAAGAUCCCUUGAAGACUACAAGGUUGAUAGGCUGGAGAUGGAAGAAUGGCGACAUUUUGAGUUGACCAGUACUAAUAGAUCGAGGAUUUAAUCC
rnacentral:rRNA from 1 species